GAUGAACGCUGGCGGCGUGCCUAAUACAUGCAAGUCGUACGGAAAGGCCCUUCGGGGUACUCGAGUGGCGGACGGCUGAGUAACGCGUGGGAACGUGCCCCAAAGUGAGGGAUAACGCACCGACAGGUGUGCUAAUACCGCAUAUGGUCUUCGGAUUCAAGCUUCGGCGCUUUGGGAGCGGCCCACGUACGAUUAGAUAGUUGGUGAGGUAAUGGCUCACCAAGUCGGCGAUCGUUAGCUGGUCUGAGAGGAUGAUCAGCCAGACUGGGACUGAGACACGGCCCAGACUCCUACGGGAGGCAGCAGUAAGGAAUCUUCCACAAUGGGGGCAACCCUGAUGGAGCAACGCCGCGUGCAGGAUGAAGGUUUUCGGAUCGUAAACUGCUUUUAUAAGUGAAGAAUAUGACGGUAACUUAUGAAUAAGGAUCGGCUAACUACGUGCCAGCCGCCGCGGUAA
rnacentral:rRNA from 1 species